rnacentral:rRNA from 1 species
GACGAACCGUACGAACGUUAUUCGGAAUUACUGGGCUUAAAGGGUGCGUAGGCUGUGCGGAAAGUUGGGCGUGAAAUACCUCAGCUUAACUGAGGAACUGCGUUCAAAACUACCGUGCUUGAGGGAGACAGAGGUAAGCGGAACUGAGGGUGGAGCGGUGAAAUGCGUUGAUAUCAGGAGGAACACCGGUGGCGAAGGCGGGUCUCUGGGCCGAUACUGACGCUGAGGAGCGAAAGCGUGGGGAGCAAACAGG